rnacentral:rRNA from 1 species
UCUUGAUAAUUUUUUAAUUUUAAUUAUAAAGAUUAAUUUAAUUGAAUUAUUUAAAAAAUUAUUUUAUUGGGGUGAUAUUAAAAUUUAAUAAACUUUUAAUAAUUUUUAUUUACAUUAAUUUAUGAUUUAUUGAUCCGUUUUUAACGAUUAAAAAUUUAAGU